rnacentral:lncRNA from 1 species
GAAAUUGAAAGUAAGGAAAUCUCAUCAGGAACAACACCCACGUGCAGGUACCAAGCUCCUGCUGCACCUGAAUUCAAUUGAUGCAAAGAAGCUGAAUUUAAAAUAUGCUCCAGAACAAAGCAAGGCCAGCUGGAGGAUUUCCUGCAGGAGAAAGGAAAAGCCUGGGGAGGCAGUGGGCCGGAAUGCUGAGCUGUGACACAUUCCUGCUGGCUCUGGCAACCUGCCCUGCAAUUUCCAGGGACAGCAAACCUGUGAGACAGAUGCACUCACUGUGUGACUGAGGAUGCUCUCCAGCCCUGCUGAGCCAGCCCUGGGAGCGGGGCUGUGUGUGGGGUCUGCUGUUUUCUAGUUGGAGUGAUUUUUAUAGCCUGUAUUAUAAGGAAACCCACACGUGAGGAAAGGAAGAAGGAAUUAAAUGGAAAACAAACCACAGGCCCAGCCAUUAAUCCUUCUGGGGAAAGCAGGGCCUGGGCUGCAUUCUUCAGCAUCCAACCCACUGUGGGACACACGAGGUGAAAGUCGUCAACAGUCUGAGCUGAGUCUCUGGUCAGCCAUCGUUCUGGGGGAUCUGCUGCUGCUCUCCCACUGGAGCCUGUUCCUUUGUGCUCUUUCCAUGAGGAGCAGCCAAAAUCAUGAAUUAAACAUUGCUGAUAUUAAAGAGGACUCCUGGCAUCUGCCCCAAAUGGAGAAAUCAACGUGUCAUUCAUUACAGAUAUCCACACUUAUACAGGGAACACGUGUUUGCCAGAUGGUGCCAGUUCAGGAUUCCCAGAGGGAGCAGGAGUGGUCCAUCCCUGCUGAAUGCCAGAGCCACCCCAGUCCCGGGGUCCCCCAAGGGUCUUCACUCCUCUCCCUGCAGCCUGGCAGAGAUGCCCCUGGGCCUCUCCCAGCUGAGGCUGUGUUGUGACCCCAGACUGCCAAGGAAAGUACAAAAUUGAUGUAUCUUGGGGGAGGGAGGGAGGGGUGUGGGCUGAGAUCUGGUGUCUCAAGACCAUUCUUUAGACAGUGCUGAUCCAGACUGUCUUAUUCCCAGCAUUUUUCAAAUUGUGUUAUUUCCUACAGUUUGCAACUACACACAGUAGUCAGAGGUUAUGACACGUAGCUGACUUUAAAGGACACUGUCUGUAACAAGUGCUAUGUACAUAUUCUAUAAAUGUUGUUAUACCCUGUAUUUUAUAGCUUUAGACUGCAAUAAAUGGGGACAAACUAUGUGCUUGUAGUGUGAA